UACGAAGGGGGCUAGCGUUGCUCGGAAUCACUGGGCGUAAAGCGCACGUAGGCGGCUUUUUAAGUCAGGGGUGAAAUCCUGGAGCUCCAACUCCAGAACUGCCUUUGAUACUGGGAAGCUUGAGUCCGGAAGAGGUGAGUGGAACUCCGAGUGUAGAGGUGAAAUUCGUAGAUAUUCGGAAGAACACCAGUGGCGAAGGCGGCUCACUGGUCCGGUACUGACGCUGAGGCGCGACAGCGUGGGGAG
rnacentral:rRNA from 1 species